AGAACGAACGCUGGCGGCAGGCUUAACACAUGCAAGUCGAACGGUUGUAGCAAUACAGCAGUGGCAGACGGGUGAGUAACACGUGGGAACCUUCCUAGGGGUACGGAACAACUCAGGGAAACUUGAGCUAAUACCGUAUACGUCCGUGAGGAGAAAGAUUUAUCGCCCCUAGACGGGCCCGCGUAGGAUUAGGUAGUUGGUGAGGUAACGGCUCACCAAGCCUACGAUCCUUAGCUGAUCUGAGAGGAUGAUCAGCCACACUGGGACUGAGACACGGCCCAGACUCCUACGGGAGCAGCAGUGGGGAAUCUUGGACAAUGGGCGCAAGCCUGAUCCAGCCAUGCCGCGUGAGUGAAGAAGGCCUUCGGGUUGUAAAGCUCUUUUACCAGGGACGAUAAUGACGGUACCUGGAGAAUAAGACCCCGGCAAACGUUCGUCGCCAGCACGCCGC
rnacentral:rRNA from 1 species